rnacentral:rRNA from 1 species
CAGCCGCCGCGGUAAUACGAAGGGUGCGAACGUUACUCGGAAUUACUGGGCGUAAAGCGUGCGUAGGUGGUGGUUUAAGUCCGUUGUGAGAGCCCUGGGCUCAACCUGGGAACUGCAGUGGAUACUGGGUCACUAGAGUGUGGUAGAGGAUAGUGGAAUUUCCGGUGUAGCAGUGAAAUGCGUAGAGAUCGGAAGGAACAUCUGUGGCGAAGGCGACUAUCUGGGCCAACACUGACACUGAGGCACGAAAGCGUGGGGAGCAAACAGGAUUAGAUACCCCAGUAGUCCCUGUCUCUUAUAC